rnacentral:rRNA from 1 species
AUUGAACGCUGGCGGCAGGCUUAACACAUGCAAGUAGAACGAGUAGCGGACGGGUGAGUAAUGCCUGGGAAUCUAGCUUAUGGAGGGGGAUCACUACGGGAAACUGUAGCUAAUACUGCGUACCACCGGUAGAGCCCAAGUGGGAUAAGGUAGUUGGUGAGGUAAAGGCUCACCAAGCUGUCGAUCCCUAGCUGGUCUGAGAGGAUGACCAGCCACGCUGGGACGUAGACACGGCCCAGACUCCUACGCGAGGCAGCAGUGGGGAAUAUUGCGCAAUGGGGGCAACCUGACGCAGCCAUGCCGCGUGAAUGAAGAAGGCCUUCGGGUUGUAAAGUUCUUUCGGUAGCGAGGCGUUAACUACAGAAGAAGCACCGGCUAACACCGUGCCAGCAGCCGCGGUAAUAC